rnacentral:rRNA from 1 species
UACGUAGGGGGCAAGCGUUGUCCGGAAUCAUUGGGCGUAAAGAGCGUGUAGGCGGCCCGGUAAGUCCGCUGUAAAAGUCAAAGGCUCAACCUUUGAAUGUCAGUGGAUACUGCCGGGCUAGAGUCCGGAAGAGGCGAGUGGAACUCCUGGUGUAGCGGUGGAAUGCGCAGAUAUCAGGAAGAACAUCGGUGGCGAAGGCGGCUCUCUGGGACGGUACUGACGCUGAGACGCGAAAGCGUGGGGAGCGAACAGG